AAACAGCGGAGAGUUUGAUCCUGGCUCAGGAUGAACGCUAGCGGCAGGCUUAACACAUGCAAGUCGGGCGGCAGCAGGGGGAGGGGCAACCCUCCCCGCUGGCGAGCGGCGCACGGGUGAGUAACACGUAUGCAACCUGCCCCUGUCAGGGGGACAACCCUGCGAAAGCAGGGCUAAUCCCGCGUACAUCGCGCCGGGGCAUCCCGGGGCGAGGAAAGGAGCGAUCCGGACAGGGAUGGGCAUGCGGCGCAUUAGGCAGACGGCGGGGUAACGGCCCACCGUGCCGACGAUGCGUAGGGGUUCUGAGAGGAAGGCCCCCCACACUGGUACUGAGACACGGACCAGACUCCU
rnacentral:rRNA from 1 species